rnacentral:rRNA from 1 species
GAUGAACGCUGGCGGCGUGCUUAACACAUGCAAGUCGAACGAAGCUGCCCAAAGGAAGUUUUCGGAUGGAAUUUAGGUAGACUUAGUGGCGGACGGGUGAGUAACGCGUGGAUAACCUGCCUUAUACAGGGGGAUAACGGAGAGAAAUUUCCGCUAACACCGCAUAAGACCACAGCACCGCAUGGUGCAGGGGUAAAAUAUUUAUAGGUAUAAGAUGGAUCCGCGUCCGAUUAGCUAGUUGGUGAGGUAAAGGCCCACCAAGGCGACGAUCGGUAGCCGGCCUGAGAGGGUGAACGGCCACAUUGGGACUGAGACACGGCCCAAACUCCUACGGGAGGCAGCAGUGGGGAAUAUUGGACAAUGGGGGAAACCCUGAUCCAGCGACGCCGCGUGAGUGAAGAAGUAUUUCGGUAUGUAAAGCUCUAUCAGCAGGGAAGAAAAUGACGGUACCUGACUAAGAAGCCCCGGCUAACUACGUGCCAGCAGCCGCGGUAAUACGUAGGGGGCAAGCGUUAUCCGGAUUUACUGGGUGUAAAGGGAGCGCAGACGGCUCUGCAAGUCUGAAGUGAAAGCCCGGGGCUCAACCCCGGUAGUGCAUUGGAAACUGUUCAGCUUGAGUGUCGGAGGGGUAAGCGGAAUUCCUGGUGUAGCGGUGAAAUGCGUAGAUAUCAGGAAGAACACCGGAGGCGAAGGCGGCUUACUGGACGAUUACUGACGCUGAGGCUCGAAAGCGUGGGGAGCGAACAGG